ACUUUUUACAAUGAUAUUAUGUACUAUCUUGCUUAACAUUGUACACAGGUGCCCCAAUAAGUGGUGGCAGAGAGUAACAAUGGACACACACACUAAGGUGUUGGAAAUUUGAAUAGAUUCACAAUGAGAAGAACUUGGCACCAAUACUUAUGUCAGAUGAUGGUCGUAAAGAUAUUUUUUUUUAAAUGUUCACAUCCAAC